rnacentral:rRNA from 1 species
CGGUAGAGUAUGGGGCCAGCGUUGUUCGGAAUUACUGGGUGUAAAGGGUUCGUAGGCGGUGCGGCAAGUUGGGAGUGAAAUCUCUGGGCUUAACCCAGAGGCUGCUUCCAAAACUGCUGUGCUYGAGUGUGRGAGAGGCGCGUGGAAUUGCAGGUGUAGCGGUGAAAUGCGUAGAUAUCUGCAGGAACACCCGUGGCGAAAGCGGCGCGCUGGAYCACWACUGACGCUGAGGAACGAAAGCUAGGGGAGCAAACAGGAUUAGAURCCCUGGUAGUCCUAGCCCUAAACGAUCAGGACUUGGGGUGSCRYCCGUUCGGGYGUCGUCCCGGAGCUAACGCGUUAAGUCCUGCACCUGGGGAGUACGGUCGCAAGACUGAAACUCAAAGGAAUUGACGGGGGCCCGCACAAG